rnacentral:rRNA from 1 species
CGGUAGCAGGAAGUGCUUGCACUUUGCUGACGAGUGGCGGACGGGUGAGUAAUACUUAGGAACAUGCCUUUGUGUGGGGGAUAACCAUUGGAAACGAUGGCUAAUACCGCAUAAUGUCUUUGGACCAAAGAGGGCUUUCGGGCUCUCGCGCAAAGAGUGGCCUAAGUGAGAUUAGCUUGUUGGUGAGGUAAAGGCUCACCAAGGCGACGAUCUCUAGCUGUUCUGAGAGGAAGAUCAGCCACACUGGGACUGAGACACGGCCCAGACUCCUACGGGAGGCAGCAGUGGGGAAUAUUGCACAAUGGGGGCAACCCUGAUGCAGCCAUGCCGCGUGUGUGAAGAAGGCCUUCGGGUUGUAAAGCACUUUCAGUUGUGAGGAAAGGUUGGUGGUUAAUACCCAUCAGCUGUGACGUUAGCAACAGAAGAAGGACCGGCUAACUCCGUGCCAGCAGCCGCGGUAAUACGGAGGGUCCGAGCGUUAAUCGGAAUUACUGGGCGUAAAGCGCACGCAGGCGGUUUGUUAAGCUAGAUGUGAAAGCCCUGGGCUCAACCUGGGAAUUGCAUUUAGAACUGGCAGGCUAGAGUUUUGGAGAGGGGAGUGGAAUUCCAGGUGUAGCG